rnacentral:tRNA from 1 species
GCCAGCGUGGCUCAAUUGGCAGAGCAGCUGAUUUGUAAUCAGCAGGUUGCGGGUUCGAGUCCCGCCGCUGGCUCCG